UACGGGGGGGGCAAGCGUUGUUCGGAAUUACUGGGCGUAAAGGGCUCGUAGGCGGCCAACUAAGUCAGACGUGAAAUCCCUCGGCUUAACCGGGGAACUGCGUCCGAUACUGGGAGGCUUGAAUCCGGGAGAGGGAUGUGGAAUUCCAGGUGUAGCGGUGAAAUGCGUAGAUAUCUGGAGGAACACCGGUGGCGAAGGCGGCAUCCUGGACCGGUAUUGACGCUGAGGCGCGAAAGCUAGGGGAGCAAACGGG
rnacentral:rRNA from 1 species